UUGGGAAUCUUCCACAAUGGACGAAAGUCUGAUGGAGCAACGCCGCGUGAGUGAAGAAGGGUUUCGGCUCGUAAAACUCUGUUGUUAAAGAAGAACAUAUCUGAGAGUAACUGUUCAGGUAUUGACGGUAUUUAACCAGAAAGCCACGGCUAACUACGUGCCA
rnacentral:rRNA from 1 species